UACGUGCCAGCAGCCGCGGUAAUACGUAGGUGGCAAGCGUUGUCCGGAUUUAUUGGGCGUAAAGCGAGCGCAGGCGGUUUUUUAGGUCUGAUGUGAAAGCCUUCGGCUUAACCGGAGAAGUGCAUCGGAAACCGGGAGACUUGAGUGCAGAAGAGGACAGUGGAACUCCAUGUGUAGCGGUGAAAUGCGUAGAUAUAUGGAAGAACACCAGUGGCGAAGGCGGCUGUCUGGUCUGCAACUGACGCUGAGGCUCGAAAGCAUGGGUAGCGAACAGGAUUAGAUACCCUGGUAGUCCAUGCCGUAAACGAUGAGUGCUAAGUGUUGGAGGGCUUCCGCCCUUCAGUGCUGCAGCUAACGCAUUAAGCACUCCGCCUGGGGAGUACGACCGCAAGGUUGAAACUCAAAGGAAUUGACGGGGGCCCGCACAAGCGGUGGAGCAUGUGGUUUAAUUCGAUGCUACGCGAAGAACCUUACCAGGUCUUGACAUCUUCUGCUAACCUAAGAGAUUAGGCGUUCCCUUCGGGGACGGAAUGACAGGUGGUGCAUGGUUGUCGUCAGCUCGUGUCGUGAGAUGUUGGGUUAAGUCCCGCAACGAGCGCAACCCUUAUUGUCAGUUGCCAGCAUUUAGUUGGGCACUCUGGCGAGACUGCCGGUGACAAACCGGAGGAAGGUGGGGAUGACGUCAAAUCAUCAUGCCCCUUAUGACCUGGGCUACACACGUGCUACAAUGGACGGUGCAACGAGUCGCGAAACCGCGAGGUCAAGCUAAUCUCUGAAAGCCGUUCACAGUUCGGAUUGCAGGCUGCAACUCGCCUGCAUGAAGUUGGAAUCGCUAGUAAUCGUGGAUCAGCAUGCCACGGUGAAUACGUUCCCGGGCCUUGUACACACCGCCCGUCACACCAUGAGAGUUUGUAACACCCAAAGCCGGUGAGGUAACCUUCGGGAACCAGCCGUCUAAGGUGGGACAGAUGAUUAGGGUGAAGUCGUAACAAGGUAGCCGUAGGAGAACCUGCGGCUGGAUCACCUCCUUUCUA
rnacentral:rRNA from 1 species